ACCCAACUGACGAGUCACAAAUAGGACGAAACGUAAGUACUGCAU
rnacentral:hammerhead_ribozyme from 1 species